rnacentral:pre_miRNA from 1 species
ACAACAUUCUGAACGUCGAUCUACCGAGCAAUCUCACCAGCUCAGUGGAAGAUCUUCCCGUAUUGU